UACAUACAAACACCCGCUCAAAAUAGUCGGGUGUCUGCAAGCACUGUAGAAGCGCUGGUCGAUGAAAAGAUACACAAAGAUAAAAAGAUACAAAGAGCGAAAAUAAAUGUAGGCCUAAAAGUAGGCAAUGGUUUUGGAGGAUGUCCCAACUGUAAGCAACGGCAAGCGCAAAGGUAAUCAAGGUCCGUCCACAGAUUUAAAAUAAAAAGUCGCAUAAUAAUGUACAAAUACUUUGCGCGGGUGCGGUCAUAGCUAGGACAUUCCUCUGAAAUGAGCAUAGGGUGUGAAUUGUCAAAGGCAUUCGGGAUGUGGAAAUUUCAAAAAUUUAUUACCGAUUAGCUAGUUUAUAGCUUAAAGUGGGUAGGGCUCCGCCUUCAUCUCAGGGAUGAUAUUCCUUGUUCCAGUGCCACAUUGACACUGGAGACUAAAAUGGCUUUGGAAUUCGGGCCUAUAAAACUGCCCUUAACCCCCAAAUUCGGCCUAUUUGCCGCUUCACCUGCCAACCAGCCACAUCGAGCCACAAGUCUCUUGGAAAAUAUUUCUUUUUCGAUCUUCAGAAUAGUAUGCAUUAACAUAAUAUUAUAAUUAACCUAUACGCGCUGAGAUACGAUUGGAAAAUUCAAGGAAAAGUGAAAAGAAGGCCACAAUUCAACUUAGAUCAUCGCAAAUCUCCCCACCCCGCAGUACCAAAAAGCUUGCGGCUGAGAACAAAAAGAGAGGGAGAGGGGAAGGCAAACCUGGCUCGUCAGCAGGUGCUGAGUAGUUGCCGAAAAUUCGUAUGGAGAGCAUCGCGGCUUGGUCGCGGCAUCGGUAGCUUACGAAAAGAGCUCUCUACGCCGGAAAAUCCAGAGAAAACCCAUAGAGAACGAAGAAUCGGGAAAUGUGGGAAAAUAACUUUUUUUUGUGUGCCAUAUAAAGUGAAAAAAAAACAUAACCCCACACCGUGAACAACCCGCAUGCAGGCGGUUGCAUAACCUAUAUAUAUAUAUAAUAGGCUAGUAGUUAGUUCGGUCCAGUGAUAAAUAUAUAAAAGCGAUGAUGAUUGCGUGCUAACAAAAGAAAACGAAAAAUAAUUAAAAUAAAAAUUUCGAGGAAAAUGAGGGGAAAAUUAUGUCGUUGCCAGGUGAAAUCAAGUGAUCAACAAUAAAGAGAAAAAAAGAAAAAGUGAUCUAAAAGCCCCUUUACCCCUCCCUAUAGAUUCGCCGAAAGCGCUUUCGCCGUCUGGAUAUGGAGAGGUAAGUCUGCACAACAAUUGUUCUAAAAUCCAAAAGCCAAACAAAGAAAAUGUAAAAGCAUGUAGAAAUCGACGCAAAGUCAACUCGAUGUCUCUCAGUAAAGUAAAUAUCAUGUCGAUUCUCAAUCAACUAAUUAUUUUUCAAUGCUUGUAAUUUAACACCGUCUGAGCUGCCAUAUA